rnacentral:rRNA from 1 species
GACGAACGCUGGCGGCGUGCUUAACACAUGCAAGUCGAACGAAGAGGCGAACGGGUGAGUAACGCGUAAUCAAACUGCCCUUCAGAGGGGGACAACAGUUGGAAACGACUGCUAAUACCGCAUACUGAAGGAGGGGAUUGCGUCUGAUUAGCUAGUUGGAGGGGUAACGGCCCACCAAGGCGAUGCUCAGUAGCCGGUCUUAGAGGAUGAACGGCAACAUUGUGACUGAGACACGGCCCAGACUCCUACGGGAGGCAGCAGGGGGGAAUCUUCCGCAAUGGACGAAAGUCUGACGGCGCAACGCCGCGUGAGUGAUGACGGCCUUCGGGUUGUAAAGCUCUGUUAAUCGGGACGCGGUACCGGAAUAGAAAGCCACGGCUAACUACGUGCCAGCAGCCGCGGUAAUUC